GGAUUCCCCUAGUAACGGCGAGUGAAGAGGGAAAAGCCCAGCACCGAAGCCUGCGGCAGGUUUGCUGUUAGGCAAUGUGGUGUUUGGGUCGGCUCGUGGGACCACCACUCCACUCGAAGUCCAGCAUUGAGUAUGGUUACUGGAUUUGGCCCAGAGAGGGUGAAAGGCCCGUACGGGUGGAGUAUCAGACAUGUGAGGUGGUUCACCAGGUCGACCUUAGAGUCGGGUUGUUUGGGAAUGCAGCCCAAAGUGGGUGGUAAACUCCAUCCAAGGCUAAAUACAAGCACGAGUCCGAUAGCGAACAAGUACCGUGAGGGAAAGUUGAAAAGUACUCUGAAGAGAGAGUAAACAGUACGUGAAACCGCAUGCAGGUAAACGGGUGGCGUCAAGCUGCAAGCCCAGAGGAUUCAGCCGGUUAGGUUGUUGUGUAUGCGCCUGGCGCAUCCAUCAGUCAGAGUAUGAUUGGGUAGUCCACUAGUAAACAGUGGGCCUGACCGCAAGGUCAGGUAUGUGUACCGGGUGGGUGCCGGAGCAUGCUAUCCGUCUGGGGACUGUCUAGCCGGUGCACUUUCUCUGUGGUCGACACCACGACCGGUGGCAUUGCCAGUCUGCUGUGUCCAAGUCGUAUUUGGUAGGUCCUCGUGGCCAACCGAGUGCGAUCACAGGCAAACUCAGUGAACGGCAUGAGGGUGUUUCGGCACUUUCAUGUGUUAUCGGCCACUGGUUGUGAACGGGCCUGCUCUGUGUUCGUUGUAACCGACAUGGGGUGGUCCGGUGGGGCAUGGUGGUAAGAAUAACUGUGCAGGGCACCGGGGUUAUCGGCCUCAAAUGCGUCCUGCGUCCACGUUGCAAGUGUAUGUGUGCACGGUGUCGCCGCUGCUUGCUCGGUGCUGGGUGUGAUUGGCGUGUUGCCUGCGCAAAGCAGGCCCGCCUUUGGCCUGGCUCGAGGUGGGUAGUUGGUGGCGUUGUGAGCGGCGUGGGGCGUGGUGGGCCUAAUAGUCUGUG
rnacentral:rRNA from 1 species